rnacentral:rRNA from 1 species
GAUUAACGCUGGCGGCGUGCAUAACACAUGCAAGUCGAACGAUGAAACUCAUUAGAUUUCUUCGGAAUGAAAAUGAAUGGAUUAGUGGCGAACGGGUGAGUAACGCGUAAGUAACCUGCCUUACACAAGGGGAUAGCCUCUGGAAACGGAGAAUAAUACCCUAUGAAACCAGACAAUCGCAUGAUAAUCUGGUCAAAAUGUUUAGUGGUGUAAGAUGGACUUGCGUCUGAUUAGCUAGUUGGUGAAAUAAAAGCUCACCAAGGCAACGAUCAGUAGCCGGCUUGAGAGAGUGUACGGCCACAUUGGGACUGAGACACGGCCCAGACUCCUACGGGAGGCAGCAGUGGGGAAUUUUGCACAAUGGGGGAAACCCUGAUGCAGCGACGCCGCGUGAUUUAGAAGGCCUUCGGGUUGUAAAAAUCUUUUGUAUAGGAAGAAAAUGACAGUACUAUACGAAUAAGGUCCGGCUAAUUACGUG